rnacentral:rRNA from 1 species
UUGCUUUUCCAGGCGACGAGUGGCGGACGGGUGAGUAAUGCAUAGGAAUCUGCCCAGUAGCGGGGGACAACCUGGUGAAAACCAGGCUAAUACCGCAUACGCCCCCUGGUUUAAUCACUGGGGGGGAAAGCGGGGGACCUUCGGGCCUCGCACUAUUGGAUGAGCCUAUGUCUGAUUAGCUAGUUGGUAGGGUAAAAGCCUACCAAGGCGACGAUCAGUAGCUGGUCUGAGAGGAUGAUCAGCCACACUGGGACUGAGACACGGCCCAGACUCCUACGGGAGGCAGCAGUGGGGAAUAUUGGACAAUGGGCGCAAGCCUGAUCCAGCAAUGCCGCGUGUGUGAAGAAGGCCUGAGGGUUGUAAAGCACUUUCAAUUGUGAAGAAAAGUUUAAGGUUAAUAACCUUAAACCGUGACGUUAACUUUAGAAGAAGCACCGGCUAACUCCGUGCCAGCAGCCGCGGUAAUACGGAGGGUGCGAGCGUUAAUCGGAAUUACCGGGCGUAAAGCGUGCGUAGGUGGCUUAGUAAGUCGGAUGUGAAAGCCCUGGGCUCAACCUGGGAACUGCAUUCGAUACUGCCAGGCUAGAGUAUGGUAGAGUGAAG